GGAAUUUUGGACAAUGGACGAAAGUCUGAUCCAGCCAUUCCGCGUGCAGGACGAAGGCCUUCGGGUUGUAAACUGCUUUUGUACGGAACGAAAAAGCCUUGGCUAAUACCCGGGGUCCAUGACGGUACCGUAAGAAUAAGCACCGGCUAACUACGUGCCAGCAGCCGCGGUAAUACGUAGGGUGCGAGCGUUAAUCGGAAUUACUGGGCGUAAAGCGUGCGCAGGCGGUUUUGUAAGACAGAGGUGAAAUCCCCGGGCUCAACCUGGGAACUGCCUUUGUGACUGCAAGGCUAGAGUGCGGCAGAGGGGGAUGGAAUUCCGCGUGUAGCAGUGAAAUGCGUAGAUAUGCGGAGGAACACCGAUGGCGAAGGCAAUCCCCUGGGCCUGCACUGACGCUCAUGCACGAAAGCGUGGGGAGCAAACAGGAUUAGAUACCCUGGUAGUCCACGCCCUAAACGAUGUCAGCUGGUUGUUGGGUCUUUGCUGACUCAGUAACGAAGCUAACGCGUGAAGUUGACCGCCUGGGGAGUACGGCCGCAAGGUUGAAACUCAAAUGAAUUGACGG
rnacentral:rRNA from 1 species